rnacentral:rRNA from 1 species
UACGUAGGGGGCAAGCGUUAUCCGGAUUCAUUGGGCGUAAAGCGCUCGUAGGCGGCUUGUUAGGUCGGGAGUCAAAUCCCGGGGCUCAACCCCGGCACGCUUCCGAUACCGGCAGGCUUGAGUUUGGUAGGGGAAAGUGGAAUUCCAAGUGUAGCGGUGGAAUGCGCAGAUAUUUGGAAGAACACCAGUGGCGAAGGCGGCUUUCUGGGCCAUAACUGACGCUGAGGAGCGAAAGCUAGGGGAGCAAACAGG